rnacentral:rRNA from 1 species
CACGGAGUUGGCCGAUCCUUAUUCUUCCGGUACAUUCAGCUAAAUACACGUAUUUAGGUUUAUUCCCGGAUAAAAGCAGUUUACAACCCAUAGGGCAGUCUUCCUGCACGCGGCAUGGCUGGUUCAGAGUUGCCUCCAUUGACCAAUAUUCCUUACUGCUGCCUCCCGUAGGAGUCUGGUCCGUGUCUCAGUACCAGUGUGGGGGGUCAUCCUCUCAGAUCCCCUAGUCAUCGUCGCCUUGGUGGGCCGUUACCCCGCCAACUAGCUAAUGACACGCAUGCCCAUCUCUAUCCCAUUAAUGUUUGAUCAUUGAAUAAUGCCAUUCUGUGAUUUUAUGCGGUAUUAAUCCGGAUUUCUCCGGGCUAUCCCCCAGAUAAAGGUAGGUUGCAUACGCGUUACGCACCCGUGCGCCGGUCUCAAGGAAGCAAGCUCCCUCUACCCCUCGACUUGCAUGUAUUAGGCCUGCCGCUAGCGUUCAUCCUGAGCCAGGAUCAAAC